rnacentral:rRNA from 1 species
GAUGAACGCUGGCGGCGUGCCUAAUACAUGCAAGUAGAACGCUGACGGAGGAGCUUGCUCUUCUGGAUGAGUCGCGAACGGGUGAGUAACGCGUAGGUAACCUGCCUGGUAGCGGGGGGUAACUAUUGGAAACGAUAGCUAAUACCGCAUGACAACAGUUAUUGCAUGAUAACUGUUUAAAAGGGGCAACUGCUCCACUACCAGAUGGACCUGCGUUGUAUUAGCUAGUUGGUGAGGUAACGGCUCACCAAGGCGACGAUACAUAGCCGACCUGAGAGGGUGGUCGGCCACACUGGGACUGGGACACGGCCCAGACUCCUACGGGAGGCAGCAGGAGGGGAACUUCGGAAAUGGACGGAAGUCUGACCGAGCAACGCCGCGUGAGGGAAGAAGGGUUUCGGAUCGUAAAGCUCUGUUGUAAGAGAAGAAAGAGUGUGAGGGUGGAAAGUUCACACUGUGACGGUAUCUUAACAGAAAGGGACGGCUAACUACGUG